CCGCCCAAGCCCCGCCUCCGCCUCAACCCGGCCGCGCUCCUCCUCCGCCCCGUCCCGCCCCCGACCCCCGCGCCCCCAUCGGCUCCUCCGCCCGCGGGUCCCACCUCCACCGCCGCGCCUCCCCCGCGGCCCGGGACCGCCGCCCACCCGCUCGUCGCCUUCCUCUCCUCCCUCGUCCCGCGCCGCGGCGGGGAGCGACCGGGGCCCGCCGUGGCGGCGGCGGCGCGGAGGGCGGCGGAGAGGGACGCCCUGGCGGAGCUGCAGAUGGCGGGGUGCGCGGUGCCGCUGUUCCGGCCGUACGUGGCGCGGCUGCCCUGGCACGGCGGCACGCGGGCCUGGCUCUCCAAGCUCUUCCCGCGCUACGGCCACUACUGCGGGCCCAACUGGUCCAGCGGCAAGGAGGCCGGCUCCGUGCUCUGGGACCGCCGCCCCGCCGACCACCUCGACUUCUGCUGCUACUGCCACGACAUGGCCUACGACACCCACGACCAGGCGCAGCUCCUCCGCGCCGACCUCGCCUUCCUCAGCUGCCUCGAGGGCAGCCGCAAGACGCCCGCGCUCGACGGCGUCGCCGCCGCCGCCAUCUACCGCUCCAUGUGCAUCUUCGGGCUCAAGACCAUACUGAUACCAUACAGGACCAACUUGGUGCGGCUGCAAACCGGGCCGAAUUACGCCGACGCAUUCGCCGAUUUCAUGAAGAGGAUGGCCUCGUCUUCCGGCAGGGCGAUGACGGGCGGCGAGAAGCAAAGAUUUUGA
rnacentral:rRNA from 1 species